rnacentral:rRNA from 1 species
UACGGAGGGGGGCUAGCGUUAUUCGGAAUUAUUGGGCGUAAAGGGCGCGUAGGCGGCCCGGUAAGUCAAAGGUGAAAUCCCUCGGCUCAACUGAGGAACUGCCUUUGAAACUGUCGGGCUUGAGGCCGGGAGGGGGUAGCGGAAUUCCCAGUGUAGCGGUGAAAUGCGUAGAUAUUGGGAGGAACACCGGUGGCGAAGGCGGCUACCUGGACCGGUUGCUGACGCUGAUGCGCGAAAGCGUGGGAUAG